CACGCCCUAAACGAUGUCAACUGGUUGUUGGGAGGGUUUCUUCUCAGUAACGUAGCUAACGCGUGAAGUUGACCGCCUGGGGAGUACGGCCGCAAGGUUGAAACUCAAAGGAAUUGACGG
rnacentral:rRNA from 1 species